rnacentral:rRNA from 1 species
UACAGAGGUCCCAAGCGUUGUUCGGAUUCACUGGGCGUAAAGGGUGCGUAGGUGGUCGGGUAAGUCUGAUGUGAAAUCUCCGAGCCUAACCCGGAAACUGCAUCGGAUACUAUUCGGCUGGAGGGUUGGAGGGGGGACUGGAAUACUUGGUGUAGCAGUGAAAUGCGUAGAUAUCAAGUGGAACACCAGUGGCGAAGGCGAGUCCCUGGACAACUCCUGACACUGAGGCACGAAAGCUAGGGGAGCAAACAGG